UUUUAACCUAGACAAGAUGAGAGAUCAGGGACUAAUAACGGCUCAGACUUUGUAGCAUUGUAUUAAUCGUUUUAACAUACUCUCGUAUACUGGUAGCAUAUUGACAUUUUGCGAGAUAAUAAACCAUUUAUUGAACACAUCAAGAUUCAGAGAUAGGAGCGUUAACACAGAACCAAAUUCAAAUUAGAGCAUUAAGAUUUAAUUAAAAAGACUUGGGGAGGAUGAACGUCACAGUGGAGCUUGAUGAAAAAACAUGGGAGUCUAGUGGGAUAACAUCCAAUAUCAUGAAUACCAAGCAAGCAUUCAAUACCAAUGAAACAGAACUGCUAUCGGGUAAUUCAACACCUACAACAAAUAAUGGGGUUUCAAUUGGCAUUGGGGCAAUUGGCACGCAGACAUCAGAGGCAAUCAUCGCAAAUAGCACAAUGGACGUUAGAGGUGAUGCCACCCAGAAUGUAUUGAUGAACGAGAGUUCAGUGACGAUAAAUAGCUCAUCAACAAUGAAUGAAAUAUUGACGACGUCUGGUUUAUCAUCUGAAGCGGAUGCCUCUGUGAGUCAAGUUACAAUAACAUCAGAGGAAGCGACAAACUUGAAUAUGUCCUUCACUGCAUCAAGUACCACUAGCGAUACUUUAAUCAAUGGGACAGAUUAUGCUAGAGACUCUCAAGAGAUCUCCGAAUCUAUUACGAAUUCAACAUACAUCGCUUUGAAUAACUCUGUUGCUUCUCCCAAGUUCACACCGACAGAUCAGUCUCUAUUAAAUCUAACUAUUACACGUGACCUGACUGAACCAACCCAGGGUGUAAUAACCUCUGUUUCUAAUCAAACCCUCGAUGAAACUAUGAAAUAUGUCGCCAACAGCACAGUUGCUAUGACAACAGUGAAAGAUGGCUCUACAACGAUUUCUGGUUCGCCGCUUACAGAUGGAUUUCUGCAUAUCAACGUGACAAGCCUAUUUGAAAAUGUCACUGAUUUCUCAACAACGAUUAAUCCUGUCACACAAAAUAGUAAUGUAACUAUGGCGAUGUAUAAUGCCACUAACACUUCUAACAAUACAGUAGGUUUGCUUGAUUCGUUGGAGAGCAGGUCCAACUACAUAUCAACAAUUCUUUUUCUUUUCAUCCUGAUUGCAAUUAUCAGUAAUGUGCUCUUCGUGGUGAGCGUUGCGGUGAAGAAAGAUCUCCAUCAUCUCACCUACUAUUUCCUGGUUUCCAUGGCAAUUAUGCACAUGGUGAUGAGUGUUGUUGUCAUGGUACCAAAUACGCUAACAGAAAUAGCAGGUCAUUACCACCCCUAUGUUUCCUGCAAUAUCUGGAUAUCUGUCGACUUCUUCUUCUGUAACUGCACAUUUCUCCAUAUGGCGUUUGUUAACAUGGAUAUAUUUCUCCGUCUGAAAGAUCCCUUGCGAGCACGUCAUAGAGCAAGCGUGUUGUCCACGUGCACCAGGAUGAUCCUUCCAUGGCUAGUGGCCUUUAUUCAGAGUUUUACUGAAUUCAUCGUAAGUCAUCAAGCCCGGGAAAGUCAACUCAUGUUAAAUGUUUGCCUCGAACCAGAUGGCAAUUUUUCAAUUCUUGGAAUCUUGCUAUCGUUCUUCAUCCCGUGUUUCUUUGCCGUGCUGUUCCAUUUUCUCAGUAGUAAAGAGGUCAAGAACAUGCAGAAUGAUGUCAAUGGGAAUAAUGACAUUUAUCGAUAUAUGAUCCAUGAUGCCAUUUUGGAUGAUGCCACUGAUCGGAGUUAUAAUGCGAUAAAUGAGGGAUCAACUAAUGGUAAAUCCAAUAUGGCGGCUGAUUUUGAUCAAAAUGAAGUCAGUGAUGAUGCAUCAAUGAGUGGAGCUGAGAGUGAUUUUAACGAUAUUGAGGAACAUAUGGAGGAUGAAUGUAACCAAGGCAACCAACGAUAUGAGAACUUUGUUAAUGCUGAAAAUGCCAUUUCUCUUUCCGAUCCACAUGAUGGUAAUACAGAUUCACAUGAAACCUACAGCACUAUACCAAUGGAGACAAUGAACACUCCAGAAAAUGACACCAAUCCAACAGGUCUAGCCAACCAUCUUCGAACAGGAGACCCAUCCCCAUCAUGCACCUUGUUGCUUAGGGACAACAUAGUGGAGACACCUAUCACCAAUGGAGGGAAUUGUCAAGAACACCAACCAACGGCUAAGGAGGUCCAUAAACUCCAAAAACGUAAGAAAAAACUUCUAUGGGAGUACCAAACAAUUGUUUUCUUACGGAAAGUUCUUAUCUUAUCGCUAUUAACAUGGACCCCUAUAUCUGUUGGUAUCAUAAUAUACGGACGCUGUGAGGACUGCCAGACUAUAUUCAUGGCAUACCUUAUCAAAAUUCUAAAAUGGCUGGCCUAUUGUGCAAGUUUUCUCCACCCGAUUCUGUAUGCUUUUUUUCAAAAGAAGAUUGGUCGAGCCUAUUGGUCUUUGUUAGCAUGUAAAGCAUGUAACAGACAACACAAGAGAGUAAUUCGGGGUGUGUCAUACUAAGCACUAAAAAUAUUGAGAUCUUCGAGUGAGAGAAUUAAGGACUCAUAUUCAGCUGAUGACAUACAUGUAUUGCUUUUUCAUUUAUCCUGUUGUAUUGGGUAACAUGUAAAUACUUCUAUAUUUAAAUGCUUUUCAUUGAGGACAAUUUGAUAUAUAGUUGUUCUAAGUGCAUGUAUCAUGAAGGCAAUAUAAUACUGAGAUUUUCUGAUGCUUUAAUCACAUGUUGUUCAAUGCAACUUUUAAACCAGUCUAGUGCUGCAUCCAAUUGACAAAUAUGUAGGGCGCCACUGAAUUGACACCUGAAAACAUGACAUCUAAGAUCAUUAAUUUGACACCCAAGAUCAUUGAUUUGACACUCAAGAUCAUAAAUUUGACACUCCAGGUCAUUGAUUUGACAACCAAGAUCAUUGAUUUGACACCCUGAUCAUUGAAUUCACAUCCAGGAUCACUAAAUGCACAUCUAAGAUCAUUAAAUUGACACUCAAGAUCAUUAAUGUGACACCCAAGAUCAUGGAUUUGAAACCCAAGAUCAUUGAUUUGACACCC
rnacentral:misc_RNA from 1 species